GAUGAAGAACGCAGCGAAAUGCGACAAGUAAUGUGAAUUGCAGAAUUCCGUGAAUCAUCGAAUCUUUGAACGCACAUUGCGCCCCUUGGUAUCCCGAGGGGCAUGCCUGUUCGAGCGUCAUUUCACCACUCAAGCCUGGCUUGGUGUUGGGCGACGUCCUCUUUGGGGACGCGCCUCGAAACGCUCGGCGGCGUGGCACCGGCUUUAAGCGUAGCAGAAUCUUUCGCUUUGGAAGUCGGGGCCCCGUCUGCCGGAAGACCUGCUCGCAAGGUUGACCUCGGAUCAGGCAGGGAUACCCGCUGAACUUAAGCAUAUCAAUAAGCGGAGGA
rnacentral:misc_RNA from 1 species